CUCUAACAUCAAGAUUAGAAGAAAAAUAUCCGUGCGAAUAAGUUAAAUUCAAUUAGCUAAUAUAACAAGCAAGAGGUCCAAAAAAACGAAUAUGAAAAACGUUAUAAAGAUUGUUGUAUUUGUGCUUUCUAUCAUCAUGUGUGUCCUCCUAACACUUAUUGUUGCUAGGAGGAGCCUGAGUGGUGAAACAAUGGCUAGUAGUGAGGAUAGUCGCGGUGGAACUGCAACCACGACCACACGGAUUCUAGCAGUCCCAGCUGGCGCUCUCCGCGGCAGCAACAACUCAUCAUCAUCCACCCCUUUGUGCAUGUCCUCUAUGGCUAUGGCUCUAUUUGCUUACCUUACAUUUGUUUACUAUUGAUAUAUAAAUAUCGGGCUGGGGCUCAGAAUUCAAAUAUGUCGGAUUGUGCUGGGUAUGCAAAUCAUAAAAUGUAUGUAAUGUACAACUCUAUCUGCUGUUAUUUUUUGUUUAUAUUCAAAGGAUUCGUUUGACCACGAGUCAU
rnacentral:lncRNA from 1 species